CAUCGUGCCUCCCCUUCAGUCCACGUAAUCGUUUCACCCCUGCACGGCGUGCGCCAGUUACUCCUCUCCCCGCCGCGGCCGGCCCCUCCUCUCCCCGCCACGGCAUCGAUGCUCCUCCUCUCCACACCACUACAGGAGCCCGUCCACCUCAUCCUCCUCUUCCCUCCAUGGCGUCGGCUAGCAUCUCCUAUCCCUGUCGUCUAUCGUGUCCCCUUUCUCCACAAGUCCCUCGACAACGUCACCUGCAUCCUCCUCUCCUGCCACGGUGUUGCCGGCCCCUUUAUCUGCCCGACAAUCUCUCGCACCACCGCAUUGACACCAAGCCAGUGCAUCCGCUAGUCUGACAUGGAAUCAGUCGGAUCCGACUGGUCGAUGCAGCAGGGUUCACCGCUCUCUGUCCGGAUGUGGGUAGGAGGGACGACACCCAAGAAAAUGGAAACUCGGAUUUCUCUUCGUGAUUCGUAAGCAGAAGCAAAAGCUUGCAAUUUUGAAUUUUCUAGCCAUCCAGGUACAUCGCUCCAUGACUCUUUCUUAGCAUUUAUAUAUUAUUUAAUUAGUAGUGUUCUUAAUUUCUUGUAUUGUAGAUUUUAUUUGGAUAAUAUCAUCUAACAACGUGAAAAAAGAGAACAUGCAAAUGAGUUUAUUGAGUCCCAGGAAAGUACAUGUACUAAUUCCCCGCAAAUAAAGAAAGUACCUCUGCUAGGGAUUUCGAGGAAUUAGCUUUAGUUAGUUAUUGCUGAAUAACAACCUAGCGAAAAAUUAUAGGAUGAUAAAAUUUUGAGUUGGCACCGAAGGGAAAAACAUAGGUAUUGAUUGGCAAGACCAGCCAAAUUUUAUGUGAAUGAUUAUGGCCCCGGUUUUUCUGAAUAGUCGACAUGAUAAGGCAACAUAAAUUCUAGUGUAAUAAGUAUUCAUUUGCAUUUGAAAUAGAAAAAAUAUAUGUGGGUUUAGGGCCCUUUUUUGUUAUCUUGUCCCGGGCCCUCGAAAUCUUAGGACCGGGUCUGGAUGUUCGGCGAGCCGUCGGCGAGAGUGGGUGUGGCAUGUGGCAUUGUUUGGAUGGGCUUUGUAUUGGGUUUCGUUUGAUUUUUCGUAGUUAACUAGGCAACAACCUUGUUAUGAGAUGGGCAAAGUUUUUGCCUCGUGUUUUGGAAAAGAAAAAAAGUUUGGUGCUGUGAUUUUAAGCAAAGUGAUGUGCUAUAAUAAUUUAGUUAAUUGAA